ensembl:snoRNA SNORD30 Small nucleolar RNA SNORD30
CUGUAUGAUGACGUAACAUGGAAUCUCGUUCGGCUGAUGAUUUGCUGUUGAGACUCGGAAAUCUGAUUUUC